rnacentral:snoRNA from 1 species
GUGCUGUGAUGUUAACUGUCAACACAUCAUUCUGAAGAAGAGUUGUGUGGAGACUUUCUGUAACUGAGCACC